GACAUUUUUACAAUAUCCAGUGAAUGUGAGAUCAUUAGUGGCUGUGGUAUCAAUCAGAUGAUAGUGCUGUCAUUUCCUCACUUGCUUCGUCGUUGGUAGAGUAGAUAAAGGUAAGAAGCAAUACUGUGUUUUGAGAUUCAAGAUGACUAGGUAAUAUAUCCAGUCAUUUAAGGAAAACUGUCACUCACUUUACCUGCUUCAUAAUGCCUUCUAUCUUAGUAGUUUCACAAUCUUACUUUGGAAUGUGCAUGUAUUUGUGUUUCUCAUUUUCAUUUCAUAGGGUUAAUAAUUUUUAAGAGGGAAGAUUGUUUUGUCAUCUAACACAAAAACUAUUCGUAGCACUUGAAGGUUUUCUCAUGAGCUGUAAUAGCUUCAUGCUAAUUGCUACACUACCAUUGCAAAUUAUUAGUUUCUAUUAUUUUGUCCUGAUUGGCAAUUCAGACUUGGAUCUUCUACUGGUCUUCCUCUGAUAUUUUACCUGUUGAUCACUUGCAAAAAUAGAUUAGGUUAGAACAUAGAACAUUAUAGCACAAUACAGACAGGCCUUUUGGCUCAUAAUGCUGUGCCGACCUUUUAGCCUACUCUAAGAUCAAUCUAACCCUUACUUGCCAUGUAGCCCUCCAGUUUUCUAUUGUCCAUAUGUAUAUCUAAGAUUCUCUUAAGUAUCCCUAAUGUACCUGCUUCUACCUCCAUUGAGUCCCACACAUCUACCAUUCUCUGCUCUGUAUAAAAAAACUAACCUUUGACAUUCUACCCCCCCCCCCCCCAUACUUUUCUCCAAUCACCUUAAAAUGAUUGUCCCUCCUACUAGCCAUUUCAGCCUUCGGAAAAACUCACAUGCUGUCUACAUUGUCAAGUCAGCUCCUCCUCCUCUCCAAAGAGAGAAGCCCUAGCUUGCUCAUCCUGUUCUCACAAUGAUAAUGGGAAGAACUUGAAGAUGGAUAAUGCAUUAAAUUAUUUGCAUAUGAACAUACUGCUUUAAAUCAACAAAUUCCUUUAUGUUUAAAAUAAUGUCUAUUUUCCCUUAGAGGUACUUCUAUAUAUUUAUUUAUUUACAGCACAGAACAGCCCCUUCUAACCCAACUAGCAAUCCACUUAUUUAACACUGGCCUAAUCACAGGAUGAUUUACAAUGACCAAUUAACCUACAAACCGGUACGUUUUUGGACUGUGGGAAGAAAUCCAUGUGGUCACAGGGAGAAUGUUAUAAACUCCAUACAGACAGCACCAGAAUUGGACUCUGAUGCCGAGCUGUAAUAGCUUAACGCUAAUUGCUGGUUUCCAAGGACAAAAAUGCCUUGAAUUUAUCCCUUUCAGCCAUCCUGCCCAGCAGCCCCCGAUCUAAUCCUAGCCUAACCACGGGACAAUUUACAGUGACCAAUUGACCAAUCUGUCUUUGGACUGUGGGAGGAAACCCACGUGGUCACGUGGAGAACAUAUAAACUCCUUACAGACAGUGACGGGAAACGAAUCUGGGUCACUGGUAGUGUAAAGCAUUGUGCUAACCAUGCAGCCCCAAAUGCCUUCUUUUAGACAUGUAGCCGUGAGUGGAUGCUUCACACAAUACCAGUUUUUGUUCCUUAUCUGUUUUGCUUAAAAGUUUUAUGUUUUGUUCAAAUCUGACCCAUUUCUUCCAAGGUUGGAUUGCACCCAGAACUGAGUUAGCUCAAUGGCACCAGCAAGUGGAAAGGAAAACAAACAUAAAAUUGGCGGAGUGCAGGAAAUCACUCACACAUCAACUGGAAAAGAUGCAAGAAGAGUAACUUAAAGGGGUAAAAAAUCCUUAAAGCAGAAGCAGUCACUUGCAAUGGCUAGUUUUCUGAGAUACAGCAUGGAAUAGGACCUUCUGACCCUUCAAGUCGCACUGCUCAGCAACACCGAACAAACUUGAUUUAUCCCCAAUCUAAUUAUGGGACAACUUACAAUGACCAAUUAACCUACCUGGUACGUCUUUGAACUGUGGGAGGAAACCGCACCCGGGGGAACAUAGGCAUUCCACAGGGAGGAUGCACAGAGAUUCCUUACAGGUGAGCUCUGAUGCCCUGAGAUGCCAACAGCAUUGUGCUAACCACUUUGUUAGCGUGGAACCCAUGAAGGAUGCCUCCCAGCCUCGUUUGUCCCAAUCUCAUCAGGAAGGAGGCUAUGUAGCAUUCACACCAGGACCACGAGACUCAAAAACUGUUACUUUCCCCAAGAUGACAGGCUGAUCAGCACCCUCCACCAACCCACCUCUUGACCACCACUAUAUGAAUUUCCUGUCAGAGACAUCUUAUGUACAGAUACUACUGUGCCUAGUGUCAAAUUAUGGACAUACAAUCAAUGUAUAUAAGCUAUCCUAUGUACUUAUAUUUAUUGCAUUUUUAUUAUUGUAUUCUUUAUCUUAUCAUGGUACCUUGCACUGUU